UGGGGAAUAUUGGGCAAUGGGCGCAAGCCUGACCCAGCAACGCCGCGUGAAGGAAGAAGGCUUUCGGGUUGUAAACUUCUUUUCUCAGGGACGAAGCAAGUGACGGUACCUGAGGAAUAAGCCACGGCUAACUACGUCGCC
rnacentral:rRNA from 1 species